rnacentral:rRNA from 1 species
UACGAAGGGGGCGGGCGUUGUUCGGAAUUACUGGGCGUAAAGGGCGCGCAGGCGGCUCUGAAAGUCAGAUGUGAAAGCCCCGGGCUUAACCUGGGAAUUGCAUUUGAUACUCUGGAGCUUGAGUACGGGAGAGGAGAGUGGAAUUCCCAGUGUAGAGGUGAAAUUCGUAGAUAUUGGGAAGAACACCGGUGGCGAAGGCGGCUCUCUGGACCGUAACUGACGCUGAGGCGCGAAAGCGUGGGGAGCAAACAGG